rnacentral:lncRNA from 1 species
UUAGCUUCCUAAAAUAAUAAUGUAAAAUAUUAAACCACAUUAAUAGGUUAUGGUUAAGAAUCAAAUAAAAUCUUUUGAGAGAUAUUUACCGAAACUCUAUCUGUUAACAAAGUCAUUGAGUUUCGUGAUUAUUUUAUAACGUUAUUAUUAACAGAAAAACUAUGGCACAUGUAGUGGUGAAGUCUACAAACCAAGGCUAAAAAAUAAUCAGAUGUUUUUAUCGUAUUAAAUGAUUGAUGCUUUGAUAGAUGAAUGCGACUUCUGGUCCGAGACCACAAUUGUCGUCCCUUGAUUUUCGUUGUUCGAUUUUCGUUGUUCGAUUUUCGUUGUUCCUAUAUAUAGUCCGAAUAUAGUCCCUAGUGUUAACAGUGGGUUACUUGCCAAUAAUUUGUAUACCCCUUCC